rnacentral:lncRNA from 1 species
GAAGGAAUAAAUAUUAUUUUUUUUUCCCCCUCAAAGGUCCCUGUUUGGAAGAAGCCCAAGGAUUAACUCUUUGUGCCUCAGCCUGAUUUCACAGUGUGUCACCUCUCGCACUUGUCCUCAUCAAUCAUUGACACAGGACCAGGCCUCAGACAGACCCCAGGGCUUUCCCAGGAAUCCCUGCUGCUUGGUUGGAAAGCCAGGUCCAGACCAUGGGGUUCUGAAACACAGCUCAGUUACCAGAUGGCUUUGUUGUUGCUGAUGGA